UAGUGGAAAAUUUAGUGACAAAGCAGUGCACAAUGUAGUAACAACGCAGUGCACAAUGUAGUAACAAAGCAGUGGGCAAUGUUGCAACAAAGCAGUAGACAAUAUAGUAACAAAAAUAGUGGAAAAUUUAGUGACAAAGCAGUGCACAAUGUAGUAACAACGCAGUGCACAAUGUAGUAACAAAGCAGUGGGCAAUGUUGCAACAAAGCAGUAGACAAUAUAGUAACAAAAAUAGUGGAAAAUUUAGUGACAAAGCAGUGCACAAUGUAGUAAGAAAGCAGUAUGCACGUGGCAAUGAAAUCUUUUGGCGAAGAUAUAUAAUUGUACGAAUACCGUCUCAAGUUUUUACCGAUUCGAUAAAAUGACCGAGGCGGUCAAAAACCGCACAGCGUGAACAAGCUGUAAGACUUUGGCGCUCUAUGUAUAAACGAUGGAAGAGUGGAAGGAGUUCUGCUAGAUGUCUCAUCAGUGUGCUCGUCUAGCAGAAACAGUCUUGGGCGAUAUCGUAAGGACGGGCGCAGACCGUGUACGCACGGUCGGUCCGGUGACUCAUCAGCUCGUGGCGCGGAAAGCGUCGACUAGUGGGCCAUCUACACGGCGAGUUGCCACGAGGGAAGCCAUAAGCGGAACCGAUCAGGCGAAUUCGCUGGAGCUGCUGUCGAUGCGCGGGGGUUGGUAGCCACCGCGGGACAAAGAGUGACUUUUCGAAACGGAUUUUCCAGAGCAGAAUAUUGCCGGGGAUCUUUCCGGACUGGCGUUGUCAUUUUCUCCUCUGUGGAAGAUCCGGUGGGUACGCCUUUGUCUAGAUCGAGGGAGAGAUAAUGAGCAAGUCAUACUCUUUAAUUAAACGGUUUUACUGGUACAAUAAUUCUUGUCCCGACCCGGGGAGCUUGAUUGAUUCCGCUUAGGUUCUUGCGUCGAAAGCUCCGGCAUGCAACAUGUUCCUGCUUAAUGAGCGGGUUCGAUUUUUACGCCGGGCCAAUUACAUUCAUCGCCGAAGAAAUUCGAGCGCGUUUGUUCUAUUAUCCAACACGGCCAACAGGGAAGUGGAAACGAGAAAGCGCGCGAGUAGAAAAUGAAAUGAAGUUCUUGCGUACAGCGCGCGCCUUGGGUGUGGUUGUGCGUUUAAUUGCAUCGGAUAGUGCGGCGGCCUUUGCGCGUACUGUUGCCUCCUCUUCACGAUCGAGCAAGCGAAAGGUGAAAAACCAGGAUCGAAGGUGAACCGAACAAUUGAAGAAGAUCAAUUCAACCUUUCAAAGAAUAGAGCAACACAAGAUAAAAACAGAUAAAAACAAACAAGAGUGAUAACAAGAGGAUGAGAAUAAAUCUUGCAUCGUGACUGCAGCAGAAAAUAGUACACUUUAUGCCAAGGAAAUAAUGCAAGAAAGCAGUACAAGCUAACGCUAGAAAACAGGAAGAAAUUGAUGGCAAUUUUGAUUAUGUAAAGCAAAGCUGUGUGCAAAAUAUGGGUCAGGUUGAGGCAUGCAAGCACUAUUUUUGUUUAAAAUGCAGCUGUGCACAAAAUUUGAGCCGGAUUGGAGCAUACAAAUUUUCAAAAUUAGAGGCUGUUAAUAAUUUUGGCCACAAUUUUUGACCUCGAGAAAUCAAAAAUCCUUAUCUCGAGCAUUCUUUUUGUAUAAAAUAUAGCAGUACACCCCCCAAAUUUGAGUCGGAUCAAAGGAUACAAACUUUCAAAAUUACAGGCUACAUU